UGCAGAGGCUAGACUAGGUCUUGGAGGCUGGUGUAAGGCGAUGCGGGUGAGACGGGAGGCUGAUGGAAGAGAUUGGGCGGAACAAGCGCCGAAAUGGAUUCCCGGUGCCUGGGAUGGAGGACGAGGGGGAACUGCGAGCUCCUUCCACUCCUCCUGUCCGGUGAGAAGUGAUCCAGCCUGGGCUGACACGAGGCUCCGGAACCCUCAGGUUCCUGCUUUUUUACCUGCCAAUCAAACUGCUACAAGACAACACCCUGAUCUGGCGUGGACGC
rnacentral:lncRNA from 1 species